rnacentral:lncRNA from 1 species
GUUUGAUUUGGAUUUGUCAUUCGUCACGCAUCAUUGUGAUAUGAUAAUGAAUUUGACAAAUGAAAUAUCAUAUGAAUAGAUAUAAGAAGAUGUGGUAUGAGUGCCAAUGAGACAACUCUCCAUCCGAGUCACAAUUUAUAAAAGUAAACCAUGAUAGGUCAAAGUACAUGCUUCAAUACGGAGCAUUAAUGGCAGACACCGAACAGUAAGCUAUAAAGGGCCCCAAACAAUUCUAGUGUCAAAAAAACAAAACGGAAAAACCAACGGUCGAAUCUAUUUAAAAAAACGAGAAACGAGAAACACUUGUGAACCACACCAACAAACGACAACUACUGAACAUCAGUAUAACAUAGAAAAGAACAACAGAAGUAAACACAAG